rnacentral:miRNA from 1 species
UAGUGGGAGAUUUUGUGUAAC